rnacentral:rRNA from 1 species
AAUGGACGAGAGUCUGAACCAGCCAAGUCGCGUGAAGGAAGACGGCCCUACGGGUUGUAAACUUCUUUUGUAAGGGAAUAAAUAGUCUUACGGGCUAAGACGUUGCAGGUACCUUACGAAUAAGGAUCGGCUAACUCCGUGCCAGCAGCCGCGGUAAUACGGAGGAUCCGAGCGUUAUCCGGAUUUAUUGGGUUUAAAGGGUGCGCAGGCGGCAUGUUAAGUCGGCGGUGAAAUUUUGCAGCUCAACUGUAAAAGAGCCUUCGAAACUGGCAAGCUUGAGUGUGGAUGAAGUAGGCGGAAUUUGUGGUGUAGCGGUGAAAUGCAUAGAUAUCACAAAGAACACCGAUUGCGCAGGCAGCUUACUAAACCAUAACUGACGCUCAUGCACGAAGGCGUGGGGAUCAAA